GGAUCCUUUGUCAUGGGGGUGCUGCUUUCAUGUGGUGUUGGGUUGUGUAUAUAGGGUCAGUCGGGUGUUUAACUUCAAUGAGGCUUGAUUUUUUGCAUGUGUCUUAUUCUGGUGUUUCGACAGUGGGGUGGAUGUGUCUUCUAUUCCUGUGGCUUUUUUUCGAUUCCUAUAAGAGGUAUUACCAGGCUUCUGGCACUUGGGACCCUGGAUGUUCAUUAAGCAGCUGCUCCAUACCAUGACUCUUUAGUAUUUCUACUGUUUCCAUAUUCAGGGCCUAGCAAGUAUCACUUACCAGUUUUAUGAUUCUGGCUUGAUCCCAGUGUAUAGUUAGAUCAGCAUCAU
rnacentral:lncRNA from 1 species